AGUGAACGCUGGCGGUAGGCCUAACACAUGCAAGUCGAACGGCAGCACAGUAAGAGCUUGCUCUUACGGGUGGCGAGUGGCGGACGGGUGAGGAAUACAUCGGAAUCUACUUUUUCGUGGGGGAUAACGUAGGGAAACUUACGCUAAUACCGCAUACGACCUACGGGUGAAAGCAGGGGAUCUUCGGACCUUGCGCGAUUGAAUGAGCCGAUGUCGGAUUAGCUAGUUGGCGGGGUAAAGGCCCACCAAGGCGACGAUCCGUAGCUGGUCUGAGAGGAUGAUCAGCCACACUGGAACUGAGACACGGUCCAGACGCCUACGGGAGGCAGCAGUGGGGAAUAUUGGACAAGGGGCGCAAGCCUGAUCCAGCCAUACCGCGUGGGUGAAGAAGGCCUUCGGGUUGUAAAGCCCUUUUGUUGGGAAGGAAAAGCAGCAGGUUAAUACCCCGCUGUUCUGACGGUACCCAAAGAAUAAGCACCGGCUAACUUCGU
rnacentral:rRNA from 1 species